rnacentral:rRNA from 1 species
GAUGAACGCUGGCGGCAGGCUUAACACAUGCAAGUCGAGCGGGGUGAUGGUGCUUGCACUAUCACUUAGCGGCGGACGGGUGAGUAAUGCUUAGGAAUCUGCCUAUUAGUGGGGGACAACAUCUCGAAAGGGAUGCUAAUACCGCAUACGUCCUACGGGAGAAAGCAGGGGAUCACUUGUGACCUUGCGCUAAUAGAUGAGCCUAAGUCGGAUUAGCUAGUUGGUGGGGUAAAGGCCUACCAAGGCGACGAUCUGUAGCGGGUCUGAGAGGAUGAUCGGCCACACUGGGACUGAGACACGGCCCAGACUCCUACGGGAGGCAGCAGUGGGGAAUAUUGGACAAUGGGGGGAACCCUGAUCCAGCCAUGCCGCGUGUGUGAAGAAGGCCUUAUGGUUGUAAAGCACUUUAAGCGAGGAGGAGGCCCUUUUGGUUAAUACCCAAGAUGAGUGGACGUUACUCGCAGAAUAAGCACCGGCUAACUCUGUGCCAGCCGCCGCGGUAACAC